GAUUAAACUGGUACCAGGUGCCUCCUUGACCGUUCGAAUAGCAGACGGAAGGAGGCACGAGGAGCUCACAAUCUACGACCAACAGGAUAUAGAUCAGAGUUACCUUCCGGAAGAUGAUCGGGGCUCCUACGCAACGACAAUCGACGGACAAAAAAUAUCUUCAUUGAUCCCAGAUGGACAGGAAGACUUUAAAAGUAACCUGGCGCACUGGUUCCGAAAGUACCUCACCCAGUCCGGCCCUACAGAUCCCCUUCAGGAACCAGCAAACCAGAAUUUAAACCGCAAGCUGAAGCUGCAUGAGCCUCGUUUUUAAGACCUCCAAGAAACUACAGAGUAAAACCGCCCCACCUAUCAAUACAAGCCACCGGCAGACACCAGCAUGCCCUGUGUGACGCCAAAAGAACACGCAGACUCCA